CCACAGGCAUCUGCAACCAGUCACAACCACGUGGCAUUAGUUUCCCCUCCCGACUAAGAGAAGGCCACUUUCUAACUCUUUUUCUUUUCUUUCUUUCUUUUUUUUAAUGCUUUGUUCUUGAAGCACAUGGUCUCGCUUAGUCUAAUCUCUUUUGGGUCAAAAAAAAUCCUUGAGGUCAUUUCGUCCUCCGUCUGCCACUUCAGUCACCUCAAGUAGAUGAGACACUCCUUUUAAGCAGAGACAGGGGAGGGAGGCAGAGACACAGGCAGAGGGAGCAGCAGGCUCCAUGCAGGGAGCCCGACCACGGACUUGAUCCCAGGACUCCAGGAUCACGACCUGGGUUAAAGGCGGCGCUAAACUGCUGAGCCCCCCCGGGCUGCUCCGGAGAUGAUCUUGAUAUAUUUUAAGGGUAAGCAGAAGGCUGGUGUGGCCAGACCCGUACGUGAGGAGGCUCCGAGGGAGAGGCGGCCAGGAGUUGGCAGCAUCACGCCGUGCGGGUUCCUAUAGGCCAUCCCAGAAAGCCGUGGUAAUGCUUUCAGUCAGGGGUGAAUUGGCUUGAAUUAGCCUUCGGAAGGUAGCUUUGGCUGCUUUGAGGAAAAUGGACUCUGGUGCAUGUGAUAUCCUGGUUUCCUCGCUCCUCCAUGCUCCUGAACAUAGGGUGUUUGCGUAGCGUAUGUGAGGGAUGGUGACCCUGGGGACCCUGAGUGAGGGACCGAGGGAGAGAAAUAGCCACAUGGAAGUAAGCACAGCUUCCAGAAAUGGUCCCCGUAUUUCUCACCACCUCCGAGGAGGCUGUUUGCCCUUCUCUGUACCAGUCGCUCACCUAGGGACAUACUCUGGAUGUGACGUAGGUCACUCACUCCACUCUUGGGUCUGCAGCCAAACCUUUCCAGAGCACAGGAGCUAACGGGGGGAGGGGGGGGCGAUGGCUCUGAGGGCAACUGAGGUACAAUUACCAGAAAAAUGAUGAAUGGAUAAUGGAGGGCAUACGCAACAGAUCGUUGUCAUAGUUCCUCUUCCCUUAAGUCCAUAGAAAAAUAGGGUCCAAAAAAUAAUAGCAGCUGGUUUUAUAUAUUAGAAUCUCUUUAUUUUUCUAUGAUAUUGAAUAAUGGGCCUUUGAUUUUAUUGGACCUAAACAACACAGACGAAGCGCAGAUGCGUAGCGCUGAUGGUAGAAAAAUGUUGAACGUAGGAAACCCAGAGCAGGUUUUGAGAAGACACUCUCUCUGCUGGACCUGACUAGAUAACAUUAUUGUGAUUUUUGUAUCGCCGUGCAAGGAUGAACGCUGGGUUUGUUAUUGUUGGAGGACACACUUUCCUUCCUGAGGCAUUUUAGAUUCCGGCCCGCCCCCCACCUCUCUCUGAAGACCCUAAGGAAUUUCAGGCCCCCAGACUUGGAGACUGUUUCUCCUAAAAAAAAAAAAUAAAAAGUCAGCG